CGGUUGUAGCUAAAUAAAUGCCAAGAGGUUAAUUAACUGUUUGUCAUGAGAUCGUAAGAUCUCCAUCGGCGAAUUUGCCUCUAGAGCCUCUCACACUU